rnacentral:rRNA from 1 species
AUUGAACGCUGGCGGCAGGCCUAACACAUGCAGGUCGAGCGGAUGAAGGGAGCUUGCUCCUGGAUUCAGCGGCGGACGGGUGAGUAAUGCCUAGGAAUCUGCCUGGUAGUGGGGGAUAACGUCCGGAAACGGGCGCUAAUACCGCAUACGUCCUGAGGGAGAAAGUGGGGGAUCUACGGACCUCACGCUAUCAGAUGAGCCUAGGUCGGAUUAGCUAGUUGGUGGGGUAAAGGCCUACCAAGGCGACGAUCCGUAACUGGUCUGAGAGGAUGAUCAGUCACACUGGAACUGAGACACGGUCCAGACUCCUACGGGAGGCAGCAGUGGGGAAUAUUGGACAAUGGGCGAAAGCCUGAUCCAGCCAUGCCGCGUGUGUGAAGAAGGUCUUCGGAUUGUAAAGCACUUUAAGUUGGGAGGAAGGGCAGUAAGUUAAUACCUUGCUGUUUUGACGUUACCAACAGAAUAAGCACCGGCUAACUUCGUG